AGUGAACGCUGGCGGUGGGCCUAACACAUGCAAGUCGAACGGCAGCACAGUAAGAGCUUGCUCUUACGGGUGGCGAGUGGCGGACGGGUGAGGAAUACAUCGGAAUCUACUUUUUCGUGGGGGAUGACGUAGGGAAACUUACGCUAAUACCGCAUACGACCUACGGGUGAAAGCAGGGGAUCUUCGGACCUUGCGCGAUUGAAUGAGCCGAUGUCGGAUUAGCUAGUUGGCGGGGUAAAGGCCCACCAAGGCGACGAUCCGUAGCUGGUCUGAGAGGAUGAUCAGCCACACUGGAACUGAGACACGGUCCAGACUCCUACGGGAGGCAGCAGUGGGGAAUAUUGGACAAUGGGCGCAAGCCUGAUCCAGCCAUACUGCGUGGGUGAAGAAGGCCUUCGGGUUGUAAAGCCCUUUUGUUGGGAAAGAAAAGCAGCAGGUUAAUACCCCGCUGUUCUGACGGUACCCAAAGAAUAAGCACCGGCUAACUUCGUG
rnacentral:rRNA from 1 species